rnacentral:misc_RNA from 1 species
GCGCGCGCACACACACACACACAGACACACAAUCUCAAAAUUCAAGUAGGAAUAAGUGUGUUCUUGGAAGCUUGAAGUUAUCUUUGAGAUAAGUUGAGACGUUGAAUGAUAUGAUUUAUCCAUGCCACAUAGAAUUAUGGAUGCAUAUGUAUGGUAGAGUGAGUGGAUUCAAGUACUUGGAGAAAAGAAAGGAUGAGGUGGACCAAAAUUAGUAUGGACUAACUUGGUAAAGAAACUGAUUUAGUAUUGCCAUAACUUAUAGCAAGUUUGGCCCAAAGCAAACUGAUUCAAUCAAGUUUGCUAUGGGGUCUUAUAUUUAGAGGGUGUUUUAUAAGCUAUAAUUUUAAGCUGACUUGUUUGUUCAAGACAUUUUUA